ACUUUGGUAGUUUAAUGGAUCAGCAUAACAAAUCAGAUAUUUGUAGAUGCGGGUUCAAGUCCCGCCUAAGGUU
rnacentral:tRNA from 1 species